GCUCCGGUGACCUAGUGGUUAGAGCGUCUGCCUCAAAUGCGAGAGGUGGCGGGUUUGAUCCCCGGUCGAGUCA